CCUACGGGAGGCUGCAGGGAGGAAUAUUGGUCAAUGGACGAGAGUCUGAACCAGCCAAGUAGCGUGAAGGAUGAAGGCCCUAUGGGUUGUAAACUUCGUUUAUAUGGGAAUAAAAUGUGCCACGUGUGGGAUUUUGUAUGUACCAUAUGAAUAAGGAUCGGCUAACUCCGUGCCAGCAGCCGCGGUAAUACGGAGGAUCCGAGCGUUAUCCGGAUUGAUUGGGGUUAAAGGGAGCGUAGGUGGCUUGUUAAGUCAGUUGUGAAAGUUUGCGGCUCCACCGUAAAAUUGCAGUUUAAACGGGCAGUCUUGCGUACAGUAGAGGUGGGCGGAAUUCGUGGUGUCGCGG
rnacentral:rRNA from 1 species